GACAGAGGUGCCGAGCGUUAGGCGGAAUCACUGGGCUUAAAGCGUGUGUAGGCGGGGCGUUAAGUGUCUCGUGAAAUCCCACCGCUCACCGGUGGAACGGCUGGGCAUACUGGCGACCUUGAGAGGCCUAGGGGCAGACGGAACAAGCGGUGGAGCGGUGAAAUGCGUAGAUAUCGCUUGGAACGCCGACGGCGAAAGCAGUCUGCUGGGGGCCUUCUGACGCUGAGACACGAAAGCCAGGGGAGCGAACGGG
rnacentral:rRNA from 1 species